UUUAAGUGGGAGGGGCGAAUGAACGUUUAUAUUGGCUCUUGCGCAGUAACACAAAAUGUCUUUUCGUUAAUUAAGUCAUGUUGAUUGGAGUUGUCAGGCACUGAUUGAAGCCCUUUACUUGUUAUACGGCAUUAAAACGCAGACAUGCAAACUAACUUUCCCAGUUAAAUGUGUGCCAAUACCUCUCAAAAGCCUGAAUAGUGUAGCUUAUAAGUGGUCGGCCCAGCAGCAUGCAGAACUGUUUGGGUGUCUGCAGUCCGGUUCUCUCUCCGCUGCCGCCAGCAGGAAGAACCACACAUACCGGGAAGUCCACGGUGACUCUAGCCGGGGAGAGGGAGCGCUUCUCUUGUUUGCUGGAUUGGAAAGUCCCAGGAUGCGCGGGCCUGUCUGGUUCCUCGCCCGACAUGUCGAUGCGGGGAACGUCCAUCAGCUCCAGGGUGGAAAUUCACGAUUCUUCAUUUUUGGGUCAACAGGAACUAGGGCCCUCUCGCUCCACAGGAUGAAACCAGGAUGACGUCUACAAUCUUCCUGUGGGGAGGUGACCCUUUGCUCCCCGUCACGCAUACUGAAUCAUCACACAUGACCUCGAAAAAUGACCAAUUCAAACCAAAGUGAAAGACUUGCUGUGCCUUUUUGGACAUUGCUUCUUGAGACUUUUUUAUGGGCCUUCUCAUGAUAGACAUGCCUACCAAAUGUCAUGGCUCUAAAUGAAACCAGUUAAAGGGGCUGAAUUUUCAAGCAUUUUCUUGCGCAAUUGGCUGGAAUUGCCCAAAGGAACCCAAAAUGUCAGUUUGCAACGGUGUCACCACCUCCUUCCCUUCUCCUCCCUUCCGCUUUGCUCACUCCAAGACAGCUAUGACAAAAUCAGACAACUCGCACUUCAUUCAACCAAAUUGUAGUAACACGCCCCUUCACAUCCUCGGUAACAGCGUUGCAAAGAUGGGAAAAUUAAUUAAUUAUAUUACUUACUACUGAAAAAAUAGAUAUUCAAUUUCAUGUUGCUAAGUGGAAUGCAGUUCACACGCUGAAUUUUCAAAACGCUCGAAAGAUCCCCUGAAAUUCACCAAAAUGGCCCUGAAAUGUCCACUUUAAACCAAAAUGGCUGACCUCAUUUAUACUUAUGACUUGAGCUUUUUUUGUGGGUCUAUUCAUUAUAGACAUGCCUACCAAAUUUCAUGUUGCUAAGUGAAAUGCACUUCAGGGGCUGAAUUUUUAAAACGCUCAAACGAUCCCAUGAAAUCAACCAAAACGGCCACUUUAAACCAAAACUGCUGAUCUCAUUUACGUUAAUGGUUAUGACUUUUUGAUCCUUUUUUUUGGUGGGUCCAUUCGUGAUAAACACGCCUACCAAAUUUCAUGAUGCUCAGUAAAGUGCACUUCAGGGGCUAAAUUUCCAAAAUAUUCAAGUCCUCCAAAUAGACUAGAAUCCUUUGCAUUUUUGGCCAUGAAUUCUUGAGACUUUUCGUAGGUCCACUGAUGGACAUGCCUCUCAAUUUCCAAAACAAACAAUUGCUUGGAAUUGACCAGAAUGACCAAAUUACAGCUUCCUGUGCAUUGUCAGGCAUUAAUUUUUAAGACUUUCUGUGAGCCUUCCCAUGAAGGAUAUGCCCACCAAAUUUAAUGUCUUAAGGGGCUGAAUUUUCCCAACAAAAGUUCUGAACUUUGACCAAAAUUAACCUUAAAUGUCUGCUUAAAGCAUAAAUAGUUGACUUUAUACUUAUAUUGCAACUUUUUUGUGAGUCCACUCAUGAUUCAUAGUCCUAAUGAAACUAGCU